GACGAACGCUGGCGGCGCGCCUAACACAUGCAAGUCGAGCGAGAACCCGAGGAGGGGUAACCCUUCUCGGGGGAGAGCGGCGAACGGGUGAGUACCACGUGGGCAACCUGCCCCAGACUC
rnacentral:rRNA from 1 species